CAGAGGGAAAGGGAGAGGGGAGAGGAAGGAGAGGGGUAGGGAGGCCACAGUGGGACAGUGGGAGGGAGAGAGAACAGAGGGCAGGUGGGCUGUGGCCAGCUGCGGGGCUCAGGAGGAGCCGCAGGCCUGCCAGCGUGUUUCUCUGUGUUAGAACCGGCCUGAGAAAGAAACUACCUGGAGGUGGGAGUCGCGGGAAGCUGAGAAGGGCUGGCAGCUGAGCAGCUCUUGGACGUGGCCCUCGGCUCCUACCUGUGCUUCCCUGUGCAGGGAGAAAGCUGCAGGAUGGCCAGGGGGUCCUGCUAGGGACAGAGCUCCCCACUCAUCAAGGCCUGGGUUGGAGGGACCCCUGGGACAGUGCAAGAGGAGGAGUUUGGGGUAGGGGCAGAGGGCCUGGCAGGUGGCCCAGAGCAGCAAGCAGGUGCUCCAUAGAGAAUGUCCUCAUAUCCUUCUGCUGGGGAGAGGGACCUGACUCCCUAGUGCUCACGGGCGAGGGCCAGCUCUCUGUUGGAUGAGCCCCCCACUGCAUCAGUGGCAGCAGUUGUGGGUGUGAGCCCCAAAUACUUCUGCUGUCUAUUCAAAAUGGGGAUACUGGCAGGUUGUCUGCACCUCCCAGUAGUGCCGGGCUAGCUGGUGAGAUGGCCCUGGGGAACUGCGCUUCCCCCAGUAUGGGGUGUGGGUGAGGGUGGACGGGCCAGUGGAACUUCUGUGCUGCUGCUGGCCAACUCAGGCCUUCACUAGGCAGCCUCUCCUCUGUGGAGGACGGCUGAAACUGCAGGAGUUGAGUUGGAAGGUGAGGAGAGGGUCCCAGGCCUGGAGCAAGAACAUGGCCAUGCGUGUCUGUCCCUCCACUCCCUUGCGUGGGGACACCUUCCCAGAAUGCUGCCCCCACCCCUCCUCCCACAUCACUUUCCUUCCCCUCUCCAGCCCCUCCCCUCACUUGAAAGCCUGUACCAGGGGCUCCUCUCCUCCAGCCCCUUCAGCCAAGAGGCUCCAAGUUCUGGAGCAAGUAUGCUCCCUCCCCUCCCCUCUGAGGGGUUUGUGGGGCCCUUGGGGCCUCCUGGGAACGUCCCAGGUGCUUCGGCCCAAGAUCUGUGCUGAUUCAAUGCCACCCCCACAGCUGGGCAGAGCCUUGAGAUGGACACUCCCUGCAAACCCUGCCCAGCCUAGAGCUGAGCACGGGGCUUUGGGGCCCCCCAAUGGCUCUGCUCAGUCAUUCUUCAGGGCCAGGGACCACCUUCUGGAGCCUGAGCCAGAACCUGAGCCUCCCUUCAGGCUCUUCUCUCAGCCACACCACCACCCCCCGCCUGCUUCUCACCGCCCAGCCCACAUCAAGCCCUAAUUCUACCCUUUUUAUUCCAUGUAAGAGCUUGCCCAAAAGGAGCUCUCGCCCCUAGCAACAGAAAAAGGCUUCUGUUCUUAGAAAUACAGCAGCCAUUUGUCCAUGCCUGGAGACCCUCUUGUUCUGCCCUAGUACAUCGCCUUCCCAGCUGUGGCCAGAAAUUGGCUUUUCUUCCAUUUCUACUUCCUUGCUGAAGCCAUCUUCUCCACCUGUCUGGUGUUCAUUGCACCAGGCAUCCUGCUAUUGCUAUUCUAUACUGGGGUUCUGGAGCAGCAGGAGUGUGGCCCCAAGGCAGGAACGCCUCCCAUUGCCUUGAUGACAUUCAGCAAAUCACUCUUGCCCUGGGGACCAGGUUUUCCUUCUGUAAAAUGAGGGGGAGUGGACCUCAUCAUCUCUGAUUCCUUCCAGCUUUAGAAUCUGUUUCUGUGAUGAUGUUGGGGAUUGUGCAGACCUAGUUUCCUUUGUUUACAAGAUGUGGAGACUAAGAAACCCAUAGAAGUGUGAAGUAUAGAGUAUCAAGAGCACUCCCUCUGCCUGUUCUGGGGUGUACACUGUUACCCACACUUCCAGGGAGAAAGCGCCCUGGUUGAGGGAGUGGUGCCAAUGUGCAGACACAUCCCAGCCUGGGACCCAGGGCUGCCCGUGCCCAUCCCCCAAUAGCCCUGCUGCUCCCUUCCCCCUCGCCUCCCUCCAGGGCUGUGGAGAGGAAGAAACGAGAUGCUCCCUCUUCAGAUGCCCUGCCCAUAGGAAGGCCCAUGCAGAUCCUCGGGACUAUGCUCUGUUCUGUUCAAUCCACCUGGUGGGUCUGACCACCAGGACAUGGCCCUGCCUUCCAGGGAGUAGACACUGUGUCUGCACUGUGCUCCUCUCUUGUGACAAGAGCAGGCUUGGUGCUAUGGAGGCUUCCCAAGGCGUCCUGUAGGAGCAUUAAUCACUGAAGGAAGGGCCAGGGCAGUAGCAGGCCAGGGACAGUGGGCCCUUCCACGGAGCACAGAGCAGUGGGCCCCGCAGGAGAGGCAGGUAGGGGUGGAGGUGAGGCGCUCAGGAGCAACGCAGCCCUGUCUCCACAGCCCGGCAAGGGAUUUUAUGGAAUACUUGAGAAAAAAAUCAUCAAUGAAUAUGAUGGAUGCCCCCCAGCAGAGGUGCAGGGGUCCCCCCUUUUGGAUCCAGGAAGCAAAAAGCUGGGGUCCUGGCCUGAGUCUGAGCAGAGGACAGUUUUGAACAAGGAGGUCCACAGGGCAAGAGGAGGGUGGGAGUGCUCCCAUGCACAUGGAUCACUGUGCUUUGGAGUGUGUGUCCCCACUGAUGGGGAUGAGGAUGAGUGUGAGACCAAAGGCAGCCCUCUUGGGGUAGGCAGGGGCCAAGGCCCACAGGUGGGGGCUGGGGAGGAUGUGUUCUUAACAGGCGUGGCCAGACGCCUCCUCCUUCAGAAGACCUGGAAGAAGCAGGUGGAGGGAGAAGCAGAGUCACAGAGGCAAGGCAGAGACUCAGAGGCCCGGAGACUGGGGUGGCCGCAGGCAGGGCCUCCCCAGCCCCACUGCUUUCCGAGCUAGCUAUCUCCAGGAGGCCAGCCUGCCCACAGGGCCCCAAAGCCCCAACCCCCAGGUGGCCCUCCCCUCUUGCAGCUGCCACAGUUUCUGCAGGGCUGCUUUGUCAGACCUCUUAGAACACAAGCAGCAGAACUAGGAAGGCCCUCAGAAUGAAGGAGACGCAGGCACCGUGGGAGCCCAGGGCCCCUUUCCAUUGCACCAGUGCUCCAUCCUCCCACAUCUCCCAAAGAUCAGCCCUCCUCAGUGACCCCGGGAGCCCAGGAAGAUCAAGGAUCGAGACUGUCGCCCUGGACCUGCCUGCUGUGUAGCUCUGGGUGCAAGUCAAAGAUCAAGCUGAAGUAAAGUUCACCUGCAUCUCGUUAUUGGGCCAUGAGAAAUAGCAGCCCGACCCUCAGUUUGAUCCAGGAACAAUCUCACCAGGGCUUGCCAUCAGCCCAGGACAAUUGACAAGACACUGCUCUCGGGCACCAGAUACACCAACCGAGCGAUUCUCAGAACCCCUAGCAUGGGCCACAAACCAAACACGCAGAGCCGCAGCGAGGACAGAGGGUGCCGCGUGGCCCUUCCUGACAUUCUUUCAUCUGCACACUGUACCGUCAACUCAUUUUCUGCACGGAAUGAAGAUACAUCACUCUGCUCUGGAAAACUACAUUUAGCAUCUCCUUCUUUUUGUGGGGCAGGGAAGUUUUCAUCGACAAAGCGUUUGUAUUGCAGAUGGCUCACCAUAUGCCACGUUCCUGCACGUUAUCACCUUGUAAGCAGAUUCUGUCAGGUUUUAGGAGUAAAAGCUUAAUUAACAAGUGGUGUGUACAAUUAUGUACUUAAUUAUCUACUGCUUUUAUUUCUUUGUUGUUUCUUGUUUUCCAAAAGUUUGGUAACAAUUACAGGCAACUGUUGC
rnacentral:lncRNA from 1 species